GGACUAUAGCAAAGCACUGGAAUCAGGUGGACUAUAGCAAAGCACUGGAAUCAGGUGGACUAUGGCAAAGCACUGGAAACAGGUGGACUAUGGCAAAGCACUGGAAUCAGGUGGGUCAUGGCAAAGCACUGGAAUCAGGUGGACUAUGGCAAAGCACUGGAAUCAGGUGGACUAUGGCAAAGCACUGGAAUCAGGUGGACUAUAGCAAAGCACUGGAAUCAGGUGGACUAUGGCAAAGCACUGGAAACAGGUGGGUCAUGGCAAAGCACUGGAACCAGGUGGAUUAUGGCAAAGCACUGGAACCAGGUGGACUAUGGCAAAGCACUGGAAUCAGGUGGGUCAUGGCAAAGCACUGGAAUCAGGUGGGUCAUGGCAAAGCACUGGAAUCAGGUGGACUAUGGCAAAGCACUGGAAUCAGGUGGACUAUAGCAAAGCACUGGAAUCAGGUGGACUAUGGCAAAGCACUGGAAUCAGGUGGGUCAUGGCAAAGCACUGGAAUCAGGUGGACUAUGGCAAAUCACUGGAAUCAGGUGGACUAUGGCAAAGCACUGGAAUCAGGUGGGUCAUGGCAAAUCACUGGAAUCAGGUGGGCUAUAGCAAAGCACUGUAAGCCGAAAGUGCUUGUUACCAAUCUCAAAUAGAUAACAACAGAGGAGCCUUGUAAGCAAUCUCAAGUAGGGGAGCCCAGAAAUGGUUUUGGUUUAACCGAGAAAUAGACGGUAUUUCAUUUCAAAAUCCCGCAGAGAGCUCUUAUGGGUAGGAAUGGCUAGAUAGAAGGGCUAGACACGCAGGCCUACUUUCUUAUAUCUCAGUGCUGUCUGUGACGUAAACUGUCUGUGACUCAAAGACAAUUAUCUAAACAUAGAACAAAUCAGCCUACACCGAAGCUUCCUCCAGAGAGAUGGCAGUCUGUCUAAUCAGCCUAGACCUAAACCUUCUCCAGAGAGGUGGCAGUCUGUCUAAUCAGCCUAGACCUAAACCUUCUCCAGAGAGAGAUGGCAGUCUGUCUAAUCAGCCUAGACCUAAACCUUCUCCAGAGAGGUGGCAGUCUGUCUAAUCAGCCUACACCUAAACCUUCUCCAGAGAGAUGGCAGUCUGUCAAAUC
rnacentral:lncRNA from 1 species